CCUGGUAGUGGGGGACAACGUCUCGAAAGGGACGCUAAUACCGCAUACGUCCUACGGGAGAAAGUGGGGGAUCUUCGGACCUCACGCUAUCAGAUGAGCCUAGGUCGGAUUAGCUAGUUGGUGAGGUAAUGGCUCACCAAGGCGACGAUCCGUAACUGGUCUGAGAGGAUGAUCAGUCACACUGGAACUGAGACACGGUCCAGACUCCUACGGGAGGCAGCAGUGGGGAAUAUUGGACAAUGGGCGAAAGCCUGAUCCAGCCAUGCCGCGUGUGUGAAGAAGGUCUUCGGAUUGUAAAGCACUUUAAGUUGGGAGGAAGGGCAUUAACCUAAUACGUUAGUGUUUUGACGUUACCGACAGAAUAAGCACCGGCUAACUCUGUGCCAGCAGCCGCGGUAAU
rnacentral:rRNA from 1 species